rnacentral:rRNA from 1 species
CUACGGGCUGCUGCAGUGAGGAAUAUUGCACAAUGAGGGGAACCCUGAUGCAGCAACGCCGCGUGGAGGAUGACGCAUUUCGGUGUGUAAACUCCUUUUAUAUGUCAAGAAAAUGACGGUAGCAUAUGAAUAAGCACCGGCUAACUCCGUGCCAGCAGCCGCGGUAAUACGGAGGGUGCAAGCGUUACUCGGAAUCACUGGGCGUAAAGGACGCGUAGGCGGGUUGGAAAGUCAGGUGUGAAAUCCUACAGCUUAACUGUAGAACUGCACUUGAAACUUCUAAUCUAGAGUAUGGGAGGGGGAGAUGGAAUUAGUGGUGUAGGGGUAAAAUCCGUAGAUAUCACUAGGAAUACCUAAGGCGAAGGCGAUCUCCUGGAACAUUACUGACGCUAAGGCGUGAAAGCGUGGGGAGCAAACAGGAUUAGAUACCCUUGUAGUC